CUCAGCUCAGAGACAGAGGGUAAAGUAGUGGAUAACAAAGGAUGAGCAGAGGCAGAAAAGUUCCAGGUGAGCGGAUGCAAUGAUGUACAGGUGAGCGGAUGCAAUGAUGUACAGGUGAGAGGAUGCAAUGAUGUACAGGUGAGCGGAUGCAAUGAUGUACAGGUGAGAGGAUGCAAUGAUGUACAGGUGAGUGGAUGCAAUGAUGUACAGGUGAGUGGAUGCAAUGAUGGACAGGUGAGAGGAUGCAAUGAUGUACAGGUGAGCGGAUGCAAUGAUGGACAGGUGAGAGGAUGCAAUGAUGGACAGGUGAGAGGAUGCAAUGAUGGACAGGUGAGAGGAUGCAAUGAUGGACAGGUGAGAGGAUGCAAUGAUGUACAGGUGAGAGGAUGCAAUGAUGUACAGGUGAGCGGAUGCAAUGAUGGACAGGUGAGAGGAUGCAAUGAUGGACAGGUGAGCGGAUGCAAUGAUGUACAGGUGAGCGGAUGCAAUGAUGUACAGGUGAGAGGAUGCAAUGAUGUACAGGUGAGAGGAUGCAAUGAUGUACAGGUGAGAGGAUGCAAUGAUAUACAGGUGAGCGGAUGCAAUGAUGGACAGGUGAGCGGAUGCAAUGAUGUACAGGUGAGCGGAUGCAAUGAUGUACAGGUGGGUAGGGGUGUGGUUACACCACACUAUAUUUAAUUUUACUGUACUGUAUUCUUAAAAUGGCUAC